UAGCCUACUUUUCUCCAUUUUAUAGCUAAGGCCCUUAUCGUUUCUAAUCUCAGCUUACUUUCUUCACUCCCAAUUUGAAGAACAACUUUCGCAAUCCCUUCAGACUUUCUUUACCAUCACAAACAUCUAUUUACAGCAACCCACUCCCAACCAUAAUCUGGAGAAAUCAAUUUAUCUCACAAGAGGUCCUACAGAAGAGGAUAUUUAGGCUCUUGGUCAGUUGAGUUAUAUUGUUUGGAUUUUCUCCAAAUCAGGUGAGGCUUUAUUUACGAAAUGUAUGUUUGAGCUAAUAAGCUCGGUUUUUAUGAAAUGUUAAAGUUGAUGGUUCAUGCUUAAAAUGUUUUUGCUCUCUAUUGGUUAUUGCUUCUACCAGAACAUUGUUGGCUCCGCCAACCAGAACAUUGUUGGCUCCGCCAACCAGAACAUUGUUAGCUCUGCUAACCAGAAUUGUGUACGUACACCAGAACCUGUUGUCUCGAGAGAUCGGUGACAACCAGUUGUAGAUAGCAUGCCCAAUAGAUGGCCAGGAAAAUAUGAGCUCAGAUUAUUUUAGUAUGCAUGGAAUGACUCACUUUAAAAACAUUCUGUGUUAUACUGUUUAAGGCAUGAA